rnacentral:rRNA from 1 species
GACGAACGCUGGCGGCGUGCCUAAUACAUGCAAGUAGAACGCUGAAGGAGGAGCUUGCUUCUCUGGAUGAGUUGCGAACGGGUGAGUAACGCGUAGGUAACCUGCCUGGUAGCGGGGGAUAACUAUUGGAAACGAUAGCUAAUACCGCAUAAGAGUAGAUGUUGCAUGACAUUUGCUUAAAAGGUGCAAUUGCAUCACUACCAGAUGGACCUGCGUUGUAUUAGCUAGUUGGUGGGGUAACGGCUCACCAAGGCGACGAUACAUAGCCGACCUGAGAGGGGGAUCGGCCACACUGGGACUGAGACACGGCCCAGACUCCUACGGGAGGCAGCAGUAGGGAUUCUUCGGAAAUGGACGGAAGUCUGGCCGGGCAACGCCGCGUGAGUGAAGAAGGUUUUCGGAUCGGAAAGCUCUGUUGUAAGAGAAGAACGAGUGUGAGAGGGGAAAGUUCACACUGUGACGGUAUCUUACCAGAAAGGGACGGCUAACUACGUG